UACGAAGGGGGCUAGCGUUGCUCGGAAUCACUGGGCGUAAAGGGCGCGUAGGCGGCCAUUCAAGUCAGAGGUGAAAGCCCAAGGCUCAACCUUGGAACUGCCUUUGAUACUGUUUGGCUUGAGACCGGUAGAGGUAAGUGGAACUGCGAGUGUAGAGGUGAAAUUCGUAGAUAUUCGCAAGAACACCAGUGGCGAAGGCGGCUUACUGGUCCGGAUCUGACGCUGAGGCGCGAAAGCGUGGGGAGCAAACAGG
rnacentral:rRNA from 1 species